rfam:Salmo salar isolate Sally breed double haploid chromosome ssa12, whole genome shotgun sequence.
UGCACUCACUACUGUAAGUCGCUCUGGAUAAGAGCGUCUGCUAAAUGACUCAAA